rnacentral:rRNA from 1 species
UGGGGAAUAUUGCACAAUGGGGGAAACCCUGAUGCAGCGACGCCGCGUGAAGGAAGAAGUAUCUCGGUAUGUAAACUUCUAUCAGCAGGGAAGAAAAUGACGGUACCUGACUAAGAAGCCCCGGCUAACUACGUGCCAGCAGCCGCGGUAAUACGUAGGGGGCAAGCGUUAUCCGGAUUUACUGGGUGUAAAGGGAGCGUAGACGGAUGGACAAGUCUGAUGUGAAAGGCUGGGGCUCAACCCCGGGACUGCAUUGGAAACUGCCCGUCUUGAGUGCCGGAGAGGUAAGCGGAAUUCCUAGUGUAGCGGUGAAAUGCGUAGAUAUUAGGAGGAACACCAGUGGCGAAGGC